rnacentral:lncRNA from 1 species
GGAAUUUACAGACUGGAAAACCAAAUGAGAAGUGCUUUGCACACUGGACUAAUCUGCUUGAUUUCUUUGCACAUCAGGGAACUCCAGAGUGCAUUCUCUUGUCUGAAAGGAAACUAAACCUCCACUGUUUCUCAGAGCUCCUCAGGAAUCCAGAUGAAACCACUGCUUGCUUCAGGUAUACUGUGUUUACAAGGAGUGAGCAGCCAAACUAGGGGCAGCCAAAUAGUUCUGGAACACAACAAAGAAGCUAUAAAGCCACCUAGAUCAGAGUCCUCUUCCUCAACAAGUGACAGACACAAAACCCUUUCCUCUUUAUGGGAGCAGAAAUUUUAGGGCACCAGGUUUCAUCAUUUGAAAAGCAAUAAAGAAGGAAGAAGAAGGGUGCCUAGAAUGAAG